UAGCCCAAGAGAUCGGGAUAACACCUGGAAACAGAUGCUAAUACCGGAUAACAACAGAUGAUGCCUAUCAACUGUUUAAAAGAUGGUUCUGCUAUCACUCUUGGAUGGACCUGCGGUGCAUUAGCUAGUUGGUAGGGUAACGGCCUACCAAGGCGAUGAUGCAUAGCCGAGUUGAGAGACUGAUCGGCCACAUUGGGACUGAGACACGGCCCAAACUCCUACGGGAGGCAGCAGCC
rnacentral:rRNA from 1 species